AAUAGAUACCCGGGUAGUCCACGCCGUAAACGAUGAGUGCUAAGUGUUAGAGGGUUUCCGCCCUUUAGUGCUGCAGCUAACGCAUUAAGCACCCCGCCUGGGGAGUACGGUCGCAAGACUGAAACUCAAAGGAAUUGACGGGGGCCCGCACAAGCGGUGGAGCAUGUGGUUUAAUUCGAAGCAACGCGAAGAACCUUACCAGGUCUUGACAUCCUCUGACAACUCUAGAGGUAGAGCGUUCCCCUUCGGGGGACAGAGUGACAGGUGGUGCAUGGUUGUCGUCAGCUCGUGUCGUGAGAUGUUGGGUUAAGUCCCGCAACGAGCGCAACCCUUGAUCUUAGUUGCCAGCAUUUAGUUGGGCACUCUAAGGUGACUGCCGGUGACAAACCGGAGGAAGGUGGGGAUGACGUCAAAUCAUCAUGCCCCUUAUGACCUGGGCUACACACGUGCUACAAUGGAUGGUACAAAGGGCUGCAAGACCGCGAGGUCAAGCCAAUCCCAUAAAACCAUUCUCAGUUCGGAUUGUAGGCUGCAA
rnacentral:rRNA from 1 species